CAAAAUGACAAAACAAACAAAUUUCAAAAAAAAAUGUCACAUCAUUAUUGACGUUACCCUCAUUGACUCUCAAAAAAGUUAAAAAAAAAAUUAGAAAAAUAAUAGAUGGCUUUUUAAUAAAAAAAAAAGAACUGUUGUUUUUUUAAAAAAAGUCAAAUUGUGACAAAAAAAUUUGCUGUUAUUAUGCAUUAGUGGAUCUCCAAUACACACAUACAAACGCUCCCAAAUUUUUUCGCUGUAAAUUGCCUGACUUUCGCUUAAAAUGUCCGCGACGGUGCAAAAACGGCAAAAGAAAAUUGUGAAGAAAGACAACAAAGAAGGUGAUAACAAGCUGGAUGCUGUCUCCCCAAAACCCAAAUUAACCGAAACCGGUGCCAAAUCGGAAAAGAAACCGAAGGCAACCAAAGGAGCCAAGAAAGCCGAAGGUGCCAAGAAAGCAGCGCGAAAGUAAUCAACAUUUUCAAUAAAAUCAUUUGGGUUUGGAAAUUAAUAAAGAUCUAAAUUAAAUUUAA